AUUUAUAAAUUUAUAUAUAACUUGUUAAUAUUAUUUAGGUCUAUUAUAAAAUUUAAAAAAUAUUUUUUAAAUUUUAUUUUUUAAUUACAGUAUAUAUUUGUUAUUAUUUUUGAAUUUUAUAAAUAUUUUUUUAUAAAUAUUCGGAUUCGAAUUCGGAUAGUAAACAAACCGAAUUCAGAUAUGAUGGUAUUCGAUUCGAAUUCGGUUCGUUUACCGGCUUAUCCCUCUCCACCAUCUUUUCUUGUUUUUUUCUUUCUUGAUUGGUGAACUUCUGGAGAAGCCUCCCUUCAUAUCAGAUAUUCAAAUCAGGAACCGCGAUCUUGAAUGGCAAGAAACCGAAUCCAUCCAUGAAAGAUGAAUUCCAAAACAAUUCCAAAUCAACGCAAAUCUUGAAAGAUCGUAAAUCAGACAAACAAAUAGGGUCGUCGACUCAAAUCUCCCCUCCAAUACAAAUCCAAAAUCGAAGAUCGCUCAGGAUUACAAAAACAGAAAAAAAGAAAAUUGAAUCCCGAAAUCCAAAUUUCGCUUGCCCCAAAUCUCGCUCGCAAACAAAAAAACGGACCACAAUAGGAUCACGAUCGGAUACCCUGGAACUGUCGCAGCGUCGUCGGUGGCUCGAUCAAGAUUGCAAUAACUCCGUCAGAGGAUGAAUUCACAAGUUGAAAACACAAAUGUAACAACCGUUCUCCAGUACCAGUCGUUAGAAAAAAUAAACUAAAGAAAUCCCACGCAUGAGCCUAAAAUUCCACGCAAGACGACGGAUUAUAGUGAGGUAGACUUCGCCCUUGCAUCGGAAAUGAACCGAAGUGGAUGACAUUUCGUCGAGCGACGAGAAUGUCGUUGUCCUUCUCUUCUCUGAGCAACGGGUUAACGGGUAAGGGUCAUACCAACGGGUAUUAACAAAUGAAGGUCAAAUUAGAAAAAUUUAUUUCCUAACAACCUCUAACCACGUUAGACCUAGGUUUGGUAGUUAAACUUUUGACACUCACCCAGAAAUCCCCUUCAACAAUGGGGUUCUAUUAAUUUAAAAAGCUAUAAAUUUUUAUAUCUUAGGAUUUUAAUUAUAAAAAUAUCUAUUAUAUUUUUUCAAUUUGUAUCAGGUGUGCAGUGCUCACCGUAUACACACCCGAUUUUGGCCGUUGGAUUUAAAAACGACGGUGAUUUAUAGAAAUAGCUAAUUUUUGUUAAUUUUAAUCAUUAGUUGUCAGUUAUAGGUUAGGGUCUAGGUGUCAGAUUUGUUUUAAUAUCUAUUAAUUGGGUUUCCCUUCCGUUGGUUUUGCUUCCCUUCCGUUGGUUUCCAUUCCAUGAUCGGUCCUCCGUUGGUUUCCCUUCCAUGUUUGUAUGGGUUUUUCAGUCUUCUUUCCAUGAACGACCAAUCGACAUUAUCGGUCUUCUUUCCGUUGAUCUUGUCCUCCGUUCUUCUGUUUUCUUUCUGUUGUUCAGGGUUGAUGUGUUCGUCGGCUUUUCAGUCUUGGUUUAUCUUGAUCUUCGGUUGGUCGUUCUGGGGUUGUUUUGGGUUGAUGUUGUGGGUUUGUUUCGGUUUAUCUAUUGUUUUGGUUUAUCGUUCUGUGUUCGUUUUGGUUGAUGUUGUGAGUGUUACGUUGCCGUAACCGCGAGUUGAGAGGAUUGGAAAUUGGGUUGAAAUUCGAUAAUCCCCAACAGGGAUCCCGCCUUGUAUUUAAACUAACUAUCCGCCAAUGUCUGAGUGACACGUCGUUAUUCAUCCACGACUAACUAACUAAUUGCUAAUUACAUCUUUUAUUUAAUAGUAAACAUAAUUCUGAUCCUUCGUCGAUUGCGGGAUUCUGUUAGAACGCUGCUGGGCACGAUCCCCCUGUUCCACUAACUCCAGAUCCUUCUGCAAUCGUUCCACCACGGAAUCUAGCUCUAACUGGACUGUUACAGUGAGUUUGUUUCCGUCGAUCUUUAUUUUCGUUGUUUUGGGUUUGUUCCAUUGAUCUGUUUUUUUCCGUCGAUCUGGUUUUUUUUUGUUUUGGGUUUGUUCCGUUGAUCUGGUUUUCUUUUUGCUUCUCAGUUCUUACUACACAGUCUUAAGUGGUAAUUACUCAACGUUUAGUCAAUGUCGGUUGAUUGUCCAUUUGAUGGUUCCAGUUCAUCUUCUGCCCAUUUAAUAGUUCCAGUUGAUCGUCCACUGGCAAUUUCUUCAUCUGGAGUACUCUAACGAUCGGUCGAAUUCAUAGUUCUUUACCAUAGUUUGAUUUGCAUUGAAAGUCAAGGAUUUCUGCUUUUUUGCUAUUGAGUUCAGUAAAAUGGAAGGUAAACAGAUUUAUAUUUAUUUACUAGUUAUUUCAAGGUUUGGCGACUAGUUGAUUGGCGACUAGUUCUAUUUCUGUUUAUUCAGCCACUAAUUUGGUCGUCGAAAUUUUUUGAUAUACUAACAGUUUAUUCGGAAAAUGGUAUGGGUAUAUGGUUUUCUUCUUGCUGCUCAGUUCUUGCUACAAUCUUUUCAUUGGUUCCAGUUCAUCGUCUGCCCCAUUUUAUCGUUACAGUUAAUCGUCUAUCAGCAAUUUCUUCAUUAACCAGUUAAUCGUCGAUAAGCAAUUUCUUCAUCUGAAGUUCGUUAUAGAAAUCAGACUAAAGGACGAAUGUUCAAUCGAAUCCGGAGUUCUUUAAGGAAGUAUAAUUGGCAUCGGAAUUUAAGGAUUGCAGUUAGUGCAGUCACUGUUCGGCGACUAUUUCUGAUGUUUUUAAUUUGACCACUUUUUUGUUCGAAAACUAUUUCUAUUUCUGUUUAAUCGUUUUGUAAGUUACUGAUAGAGUUUUGAUAUAGG
rnacentral:lncRNA from 1 species